rnacentral:rRNA from 1 species
GAUGAACGCUGGCGGCGUGCCUAACACAUGCAAGUCGAACGAAGCAAUUAAGAUGAAGUUUUCGGAUGGAAUCUUGAUUGACUGAGUGGCGGACGGGUGAGUAACGCGUGGAUAACCUGCCUCACACUGGGGGAUAACAGUUAGAAAUGACUGCUAAUACCGCAUAAGCGCACAGUGCCGCAUGGCAGUGUGUGAAAAACUCCGGUGGUGUGAGAUGGAUCCGCGUCUGAUUAGCCAGUUGGC